UCCAAAGCGGGCUAGGGUUCCAAAAUGGCGAUCAGAUUCAGGAUGAGGCUCGAUCGGAGAGCUGGGGAUUUGCGGAGGCUGUUUCCCCUCUUCGUAGAUGCCGAUCUCUGUCUUCUCAGAUCGAUCGGCUUCAUCUGAGAGUCGAUGAUUCAGUUCUCAAACUCAACAGCCCCUUUCGGUAAGAUAUCUUAUAAGCGGUCAAACCGCUAAGCCAAACACAAUAAUAAUAAUAAUAAUAAUAAUAAUAAUAAUAAUAAAGAACAUCACGAUCUGUUUUGUUUGAUUGCGGUUUCUGUUCGUAAGAACUGGUUUCCGAAUCAGAAAAUAGAUCGGCCGUUGCUUUCCGUUCUUUUUCUUUUCUUUCCAUGAAUCCAUUCUAUUUCUUAGUAAUGGAAAAGGACGGAAAAGGGUAGAAUGGAAGUAUUGCCAUUCCAUGCUUUCUUCCAAACGUACUGUAAAUACGGUGGCCCGGAAAAUGAACCCGAUUGAGGCUUCGCUGUUUCACAGAGAGAUGGGAUGUUUCUUGGGGGUGGUUGCCCCUCUCUGUGCUGGUAUUCGAAGCCGAUGAUUUCAGAUCCAUCUCCAAAAUCAACAGCCCUUUGGGUGUGUGUGUUGGCGCACGUUACUCUGUGUUCGUGCAUGUACAUAUACAUACAUACAUUCAUAAAUAUAUCAGCAUCUGCUUUUUCUUCUUGUUCUGUCCUUCAAUUCCAAGUUCUUAAAGGGGCUAUGAUGAUGAGCUUCCUGGGUCCAGAUCAGUGUUGGCUUGGUGGGAUCCGACCCUUUUCUUGGCGGGGCAACCCGGAUGGCCAGUGUUCCAAGAAAUUACUCGGGUAAUAUGGAUGGAGAUGAAUAGCAUGUUUUGCUUACCCUUGUGCGGACUCGCUGUAUUGUGGAGGAUAAAAAUCGAACUUACAACCAUCGGUGUGAAUCUGACAUAUCGUUUAUCUUACCGUUGGACUAUAUGCUUUGGGGCUGUUUACUGUUUUUUAAAAUGGCUUUCAGGGGGUGUUUGGCUUAGUGUUUUGAAUACUUAUAAGGUAUUGGUAAAAUUUAAAUAUUGAAUAAUUUUUUAAGUUAUAUAUUUUUAAAAAUUAAAUAAUUUAAAUACUAUCGAGUUUAAAUAUUAUUUUUGAUAAUUAUAACACUACAAGAAAAAGGGGUAUUGGCGGCGAAGUUUUCCCGACGAUUUUAAUAAUCGUCGGAAAAACACCACAAUUAUCGGUGAUUUGUAGAACCGCCGGUGAUGAGUCAAAAGACCGACGAUUUUAAAAUCGCCAGUAAUGGGAUACACAUCUCCGGCGGUUUUAAAAAAUCGUCGGUGAUUUUUGAAGCAUAACCAGCGGUUUAAUAAAAUCGCCGGUUGUGUUUACCCAUCCUCGGCGGUUUUAAAACCGCCGGGGAUAGGAUUAUAUAAGGCCCUGCGCGCACCCAGCCCAAUUCUCUCCUGCGUGCACCCGGCCCAAUUCUUCCCUUCACCCCAUUCGAUCUCUUCCAAAAUCCCCCCUGCAAACCCUAACAUUAUCUAGCUCGCGCCUCGCUGCCUCCCUCGAUCGCCUUCGCUGCCUCCCUCGAUCACCCUCGCUCGCCUCGCCUCGCCCUCCCUUGCUCACUCUCAGUCGCUCUCGCCCUCCCUCGCUCACUCUCAGUCGCCCUCGCCCUCCCUCCCUCGCUCUCUCUCAGUCGCUGUCGCUCUCGCCCUCCCUCGCUCACUCUCAGUCGCUCUCGCCAUCGGCCUCGCCCUCGCCCUCCUUCGCUCACUGAUCAGUCGCACAUGCAACCAGAGAAGUGUUGAUUGGAAUUGGGGUAAAUUACAGUUUGAUUGCUCUGCGGUAGUUGUUCUUCCUUGAUCAGGUCCUCGCUGGUUUUGAAUCAGUCUCAAAAGUUUUUCGCUCUUGGCUUGCUUACAGUUACGGCUUACUUGGCCUUUUGGCUCUCCUUCCCUGAUCUCCUAUUUGAUGGCUGGUUCGUGUUAUGGUAUUUAGGUUGGCUUUUCUUGUUUCCUUGACUGCGGCCCAUCCAGGUAAGCAAACAGCCCCUAGGAAGGUAACCCCCUUAGUUUUCUUUGUCACUCGGCAACCGAUGGCUGCAGCCAUGGCGGGUCAACUCCCCCCUCAGCCCACUGAUCAGUUCGUAUCUGAGCCUCAAAUGAGUCCUUCAUAACAGCAUCUGUUUAUAAGUUAUGGAUGGUUUUUGCAAAGAUGCGCGAGCUGGACUAAGUUUUUGUAUAUGGACAAAAGCCGAAAGCAAAUCUGGAAAUUUUCUAUGCUUGUAGUCAGCAUUUAACUAUCAAAAUCAGCCUCAUAUUGGACCAAACUAUCAUGAGCCAAAAAGCAUUUGGGCCCUCUGUUUCUAAUUGUUUCUGAAUUUUUGUAUUCGUUGUUUAGAAUUUGUUUGAUUUAAUUGUUCUUCUAAUUGUUUAAAAUUGAUUUCUAUAAGGAAAAAAAAAAUCUGAAUUUGCUUUUUUCUUUUUUUUCAAGAAGUUGGAGUUUCUUUUAGCUGAUAGAGACGGCUUUCAAUAAAUUAAAUCUUUAGACUUAAUUGGAUGGUCAAACUUAAAUAUGAUGGAUUUUCGUGAGUAUGUUGUUUUGAUACAUUCUUUGCAACUUUCACAGGAUAUAGUAGUUGAAAAAAAAGGAAUUUAUGAUUGAUGUCAUAAGCAAAAAUUUAAAGAAGCACACAAACAACACCAACAAAUGGGUUGUAUUGGACGAGAUAUUAGGAACACUAAUUGAGCAUUUUAUAUUUGGGAGGGAUAAAAGUUUGAACUUUCAUAGGUCAUGUCGAAACACUAUUGAGCAUUUUACCUUUGAGAAAGAGAAAAGUUUAAACUUUUUUUUUUUUUUAUGAUAAGGAUUUAGACAAUAAGAUGUUUUGUUUUUGGCAAUGUCGUAGUGUUCGAUACAACUUAUAAUACCAAGUCCUUUAUGAUUUUUGUUCCAUUUAUUAGUGUAAACCAUCAUGGUCAGACCAUUAUAUUUGAGUGUAGAAUGUUAGUGAUGAGAUGAUCGAAUCAUUUGUUUGGUUGUUCUUGAAGUUUUUAGAAAUCAUGCCAAACCAAGUGGCCCCAGUUGUUAUAAUUACUGAUCAAAAUGUUGCAAUUUUGUACCGAAGUUUCGAUGGUGGUGUUGUUUAUUCUGUACCGAUUUUGCCUGACAUAUUUUGAAUAAGUUUUUUAAAAAAUCAACGCAAUGAUGUAUAAAGAGUAGUAUCACAUGUUAGUGAAUAUCAUUAAAUAGUUUAAAUCGUUCGAGGAUUUUGAACAGUGAUGGAUUGAGAUAAUGCAGAUCAAUAACUUGGGUUGCAAUGAAUGAUUGAUCAAAAUGUAUGAAAUACACAGUUAAUAGGUACCAGCGUAUGCCAAACAUGUAUUUUGUGUAGGAAUAUCUAGCAACUAAAGGAUUGAGAGUAUUCAUUCAUUUUUGAAGAAAUAUGUUACCAGAAAUAACUCGUUCAUGGAUUCCAUCACACAUUUCAAUAGGGCGUUAGCUCAUCAACGCCAUGAAGAAUUAGUUGCCAAUUAUAUUGAUCUUAGUGAACAACUAAGGUUGAGUUCAGUUGUUAUGUUGGAGUAACAAAUGAUACAGAUAUAUAUAAAGUAUAUAUUUGUGUUGUUUCGAAAUGAAGUUGAGCAAAACAACUUCUACAUAUGUUUAAAGAGAUCAAGCUACGUAGAUGUUAAGGUGUACAUCGUGGAGUGUUUCUAGCAAGGGAAAAAUUUUGAUAGGCAUCGAGAGUUGACUUAUUACCAAGAGUAUGAUUUCAUAUCGUGCAGUUAUCGAAUGUUCGGGUUUGACGGUCAUCCAUGCUGACACAUGUUAUUUGCAGAAAAAACAAGUGUUGUUAUUGGAGAAAUAUAUUUUAAGAUGGUGGACAAAUAAUGCAAAUGUUGAAUUCAUACACGAACUUUUGGCUGGUUUAUCAGUCGAAGAUGGUUCUAGUCAGUCAUUAAUGACAAGGCAUUUGUUACUAUUACACAAGAUUUCGUUGUUAGUCGAUCACGCAUCUUUAAUAGAUGCUUACAACACUUUUCUAUUAGAUGAAUUCGAAAGUUUGCAUAUUAGGCUUAAAGAUAUUGACAACAACAAAAAUAUUGGGAUGAGCAAGAAUAUGAGCAAAAUCCACAAGGAGAUCUAAGUGGUAUGUGAUCCAAAUGUUGUUAGAGCGAAAGGGUGCAGGAAGCGAUUAAAGUCAUUGAAAGAGAAGGCAAUGUCCCAAUCUAACAUCAGGCAAGUCUUCUUGUGCAUGUUCUGCUAGAUUUGGACAUUGCCUUCUUUUUUGAUGACUUUAAUCGCUUUCCACGCUCUAACAGAAUUCGGAUCACAUACCACUUGGGUCUCAUCGCGACUUUUGCUCCUAUUCCUAUUCAUUUUGAUAUUUUCGUAGUUGUCAAUAUCUUUAAGCCUAAUGUGCAAACUUUAUAAGUCAUCCAAUAGAAAAGUGAUGCGAGCAUAUGUUAAAAACACAUCAUCGACCAACAACAAAGCUUUGUGUGAUAGUAACACAUGCCUUGCCAUUAAUGACCGACUAGAAUCAUCAUCAAUUGAUAAACUAGCCAAAGGUUCAUGUACAAAUCCAACCUUUGCAUUCUUUGUCCACAUUUUUAAAAUAUAUUUUUUCGAUAACGACACUUAUUUUUUCUUCAAAUGGAACAACAUGUGUCACCAUGGAUAGUUGUCAAAUUAAAAACAUUUGACAACUACAUAAUAUGAAAUCAUACUCUGGGUAAUAAGUUAGGUCUUAGUGCCUAUCAAUUUUUUUCCUUUGCUCAAAACGUUCCACAUUGUACACAUUAACAUUUACGGAGCUAGAUCUCUUUGAACAAAUAUAGAAAUUGAUUUGCUCAACUUCUUUAUGGAACAAUACAAAUAUAUGUUUCGUGUAUAUAUGUACUAUCUAUUGCUCCAUUAUAACAAUUGAGGUUAGCAUUGGUUGUUUAUUGAAAUCAAUAUGGUUGAUAACUAGUUUCUCAUGGCAUUGAUGAGCUAAUGUCUUAUUGAAACGUGUGAUGAAGUCCAUCAAUGAACUAUUUCUGUUGAUAUAUUUAUUUAAAAAUGAGUGAUUGCUCUCAACCCUUUGAGUGCUAGACAUUCCUGCACUGAAUACAUGUUUGACAUGAGCUAGUACCCAUUGACCGUGUAUUUUGUACAUGUUGAUCAACCAUUCAUUGCUGCCCAAAUUAGUGGUCUCCAUUAUCUCAGUUCAUCAUUAUUCGAACUCCUCGGGCGAUUCAAACUGUUUAAUGAUAUUCACUAGUCUAUGAUAUUUUGUUUCUUAUACAAUAUGUCAUUGAUUUUUUUAGAAAAUUUGUUCAAAAUAUGUCACUGGCAAAAUCAGUAUCAGUGCAAACUGAAUGGAAACACCAUUGAGAUAGCUUUUGAAAUUACAGCGUCUUGAUCAAUGAUUAUAACAAUAGGGGCUGUUUGGUUUGGCAUGACUUCUAGGAACUUUGAGAAUAGCUAAACAUGAUUUGAUUGUCUCAAUAAUCUGCAACCAAGGAUAAUCAUUUGGUCAUGGUGGUUUACACUAAUAAAUGAUGCAAAAAUCAUUGAGUACUUUUUGGUGUUGUAUGAAACACUACGACAUCCCUUAAGAAGACAUGAGCCUUUUUACUCAGAAUCAGUUCAAAAACAACGAAACAUCUUAUUUUUUGAGUUCGUAUUGUAAUUAAAGAAAAAGUUUAGACUUUUCUUUCUCUUAGAUGUGAAAUGCUCGAUUAGUUCAGUGUCAUGACCCAUUUGUUCCUAAUGUAAAUCGUUUUCAUGGUUCCUGAUAUUUAUCUCAAUAUAAUCUAUUGAUAAUGGACUGCUCGACUCUAUCUUCAUGAGUCGCAAUUGUUGACAUGUUGAUAGAUUGGCUUUCAAAAAUUAUUGUGCAAGUGUUUUCUUUAUGGUCGAGACAUUUCAGUGUAAUCUUAACAAAUGUGUGAGUAGUCAAACCAUGGUUAUGUUUCUCCAAAAAUUAUCUAACCACUGAAUUAUUGCCAGCUUGUUAUUUCACCAUCGACAAUCUAGCAUUGUACCUAAACUCGUGUAUGUCUAUGGUUUCUUUUGCUAACUUGUGGCACAUUUUUACGGCA